rnacentral:rRNA from 1 species
UACGUAGGGGGCAAGCGUUGUCCGGAUUUAUUGGGCGUAAAGCGCUCGCAGGUGGUCCGAUGCGUCGUGCGUGAAAGACCCCGGCUCAACUGGGGGGUGUCGUGCGAUACGGGCGGACUGGAGGCCAGUAGGGGGAUGCGGAAUUCCGGGUGUAGUGGUGGAAUGCGUAGAGAUCCGGAGGAACACCAGCGACGAAGGCGGCAUCCUGGACUGGUCCUGACACUCAUGAGCGAAAGCGUGGGGAGCGAUCCGG